rnacentral:rRNA from 1 species
AUUGAACGCUGGCGGCAUGCUUUACACAUGCAAGUCGAACGGUAACAGGCCGCAAGGUGCUGACGAGUGGCGAACGGGUGAGUAAUGCAUCGGAACGUGCCCAGUCGUGGGGGAUAACGCAGCGAAAGCUGUGCUAAUACCGCAUACGAUCUGUGGAUGAAAGCGGGGGACCGUAAGGCCUCGAGCGAUUGGAGCGGCCGAUGUCAGGUUAGGUAGUGAGUGGGGUAAAGGCUCACCAAGCCGACGAUCUGUAGCUGGUCUGAGAGGACGACCAGCCACACUGGGGCUGAGACACGGCCCAGACUCCUACGGGAGGCAGACGUGGGGAAUUUUGGAAGAUGGUCGCAAGCCUGAUCCAGCAAUGCCGCGUGCAGGAAGAAGGCCUUCGGGUUGUAAACUGCUUUUGUACGGAGCGAAAAGGCUCUCUCUAAUACAGGGGGCUCAUGACGGUACCGUAAGAAUAAGCACCGGCUAACUACGUGCCAGCCGCCGCCGUAACAC